rnacentral:lncRNA from 1 species
AGUCCAGCGGCAGGGGCCACCAGCGCAGGCUCUCCUCCUCACAGAAGCCGGGAGCUGGUCAUCCAAGAAGAAGCAGCCUCGUUUGUUUCGGGUGUCAUCGUAGGUGUCCACCUUUGGCUUUGGGGAUCUCAAAACAUUUAAACUUGAGGAAGUUCCUACUUUUCCAGCUUUGGAGUCAAGGAGGGCCUCUUGAAACCUGAGGAAGCAGUAUCUGAAGCCUGAGGAGAGGAGGAGCAGACCCUGGGAAAGCUGUUAAGGGAAGAGGCUGGAGUCCACGUGGCAGAAUAACCAUUGUGUUUUUCUCCCUAAUACAUCUUACCAUGUAUUGCCAUGUAUUGCUUCUUGCCUGGGACAGGUGGGUGCUCCACCUCCCUUCCCCUCCCUUUCCUCCUCAAGGGCACCAGAGCCGUAUCCAGAACCAUGGACAGCUCCCAGGCGAGCCCAAAAGAGUGGGAAAGAUGUGACCAAAGUCACUCAGCGGGUUAAUGGAAAGGCCAAGAUCCAGGCUUCUAAUUUCCAGCUUCUUAAGGAGUCUCCUUGCCUGAAUUGGUUGGAACAGGCAUAUUGCUGGUAGGAGAGUUCAAGGUUGCCUCCAUACCAAAAAGGACAGGAUGCAUGUCUGGACAUAUGAGGUGUGCACACAAGCCAGGGAGAGGUGGAACUGACUGCUAUCUCUGUCUGGAGAAGUUUGAAGGGGUCGCCUCAGGGAGAAGCACAGGGUAAGGCAUACCUAACAGUAGCUGGCAAGCCCAUGGGAGAAAAGGCAAGGAGGCAACCAUCUGCCAGGGCAAAGAGGCCAGUAGAUGGCCACAAUGAGUCUCCAGAGGCCAGCAAGAGUCACACAAACUGGAACAGGGCCUGGGAAAGGCCCUUCUGUGUGCCCAGUCCUGCUCCCCCAACACCGCAAGCCUAGAAACAAAGGGGCCAUUCUCUGUAGGAUUUGAUGCCGCAAUCUCCGGCUGGCAGUGCCAGGUGGUGGGGGCAUCAGGGGGUGUCAACCCAUUAUGCCCCCCCCCACCUCUCUAGGUCCUCUGGGGCUGGAUGUUGUGGAGGUGGGUGUUCCAUGCCAUGUUGCCAUGGCAACCACCCCAACCCCCACUUUCCAAAGCACAAAGAGAGACAGCUCUCACCCCCACCCCCAGGAAGAAUCUGGGUCUGGUUGGGAAUCUUCCCUUGGGAAUCCUCCUUUCUGAUGCACAAGCCAUGGCAUGUAUCACCCUCUUUUCAGCACCCGGAGCUGAAGGUUCAGCCAUUGGCAGACCAUACAGGCAGGGAGGUUGGUACAUCCAGAGUCUCUGGGCAAGGUUGUGCCAGUGAGUCCCUUAUACUUAACCCUCUCCCCGCCUCCCAAGCUCUCCUGUCCCUCACCUAUAGCCAAGGCCAUCCUAUGCCUUUUCAGCUGAAGCGAGGAGGUCUUGACCUUCUGCUCUUUCCCAGAAGUGAAGGACACCUCACUACUCCCAGCAAGCUUCCAGGCUGUGGGAAGAGAAGAGAGGGCCAUUCCUGCCACCCUUCAUCUGCACCCUCCGCCAUUACUCAUUAGGCAUUCUGCCCCCUCCUUCCGCUCGUUAAGCCUGAUUUGCAUAUAUUUGCAUAAUACAACUCAUUUGCAUUCCAGGAGGCUCUUGGUAGGAGCCAGGAAAAAAGGGGAGGGGGGUUAGAGAAGAGAAAAAAGGGGAGAGAUUUUGUUUGCAUCAAAGUGUGUGUGGUGGGGGGGUGGCAGGAAGAAGAUAGAAAUAAAAACUCACACUACUUUCUUUCUUCCCUUCUGCCCUCCCUCCCUUAGCUGGACUCAGAUGCCAAAGAGAGAUGCCAAGGGGCCUGCUUUUUUAUCCUUUUUUGUCUUGCUUCCUCCGGCCUUGGCUCCCCAGCCUGGCCCCCCACCUUGCUGGGCUCAGGCUUCAGAAAAAAAGGGACAGGGGUAGGAGGCAAGGCUGUGGGAACGGAAGCGGAGGGAGAGGGAGGCCACUAUCUUAGGUAGCCGGUGCCUGGAAAAGGGCCUCCUGCAUCAGGUGUGGGCUGCCAGCCAGCCCGGGGUCAGUGGCCGUGGCGGGAGGUGAGGCCCUGAGGAGGGGUUUCCAGCUGAUCAGGACCAUUGCUGAGUCUUCCUACUAGCAGAACUGGGGGAAAAGGAUGGAGAGAGAAGGGAGGAGGGAGAGAUGGGGGAUGGUGGCCCCAGAAGAGACAUGAGCCACAUUUAGGAGUAGGUGUUGUGGGAGGACUUCUGCCUGAGGUUUGGUUCCAGACCCCUCAUGAGUUCCAGUGUCAGAAGACUUGGAGCACUAUGCAUAAUAUUAAAAAAAAAAACAAACUGGAGGAAUUAGACCUGGGUGUAUCAGCAGGAAGGGGAGAGGAUAAAGAGUGAGCAGGCAAGAUGAUCCAUCAGUUUGAGGGUUUCUCUGGGACCUGGGAAGGGCCCCUAUGAACUUGAGGUGACAUUCCAAGUCUUCUCUCCUCAGCUCACCCUUCUGGCCUCCAUCUUUAUAGCUGGUGAGACCUGUGCCCCCUCCAGCCCCUCACUCAGCCUCCUCAACCAGACCCAGUGUCCCUUACUCAAGCCUGGUGACCUCUGAGGAGUAUUUCAUACUGAGCCAUCCCAUCUUCUUUGGCCUUUGGUUCUUCUCUUACAGCUGAUUAUUCAUUCUGGAUUCUAUUCAAUCAGUCUUCUGGACUGACUCCAUUCAGUCUCCAUUCAGAAGUGUUCCCCAGGUUCUGCUAACAGUUUUUUUUUUUUUCCUUCUUUCCACUCACAUUCUUUCACUUUUAUCAUUUCAGUAUCACUAAGAUUUCUCUAAACUCCAGAUUUGUACCCUAACGACUAUCUGGGUCCAUUAGCUCCCAGAUCAGACUGGAAUGGCGCAUCUGAUUGGCUAAGCCUGGAGCACGUGAGCAGGCCCUAGCUGCAAGGUAGCCUGAGAAAAGUGCCUGUGCUUUUGGCUUCUGUGGUGUCAUAUAAGUACAAUCCCCUCCAAAAUUCAUGAGAUGGCUGUUCCCCAGACAUAGGGAGGGCCUUCAGAUGCUCACUUAUUUGGCAUUGAGUGUGCUUCAAAUCUUGCCCUAUGUUCCUGCUUCCCUAUCCCUCUCAACAGCAUCAUUAAAAUUCUAGGUCCUCAAGUGCAAAUCCUGAGCAUUAUCCUGGAUUUACCCUCUUCUCUCCCCUCAUCCAGAUCAGUCACAUCAGAACCCAUCACAUUGCAGUGCUUCUCACAUCUGUGCCUUCCUUUCCCUUAUCCCUAGUUCCAUUAUCGUCUCAUUCCUUCAACAGACGUUUAUUGGGCUGGGCACCUACUGUGUGCCAGGUGCUGUGCUGAAGAGGAUGGUGGAAUACAAAGCUGCUUUAAGGGCCUAGAAGCCUAGUGGGGGAGGCAGACAGGAAUAACUACAAGACAGUGUGAAAGCUGCUGUCUUGAAGACCUGUGCAAGGUAUGUGGCAGCAUGGGGGCCAGAGCCCUGAGCUCCCUCAGGGGAGUUAUGGAAGGCUUUCUGCAGGGGGCCAAAAGAUAAGUGUUAAAAGAUAAAGGGAUAAAAUUGAUGAAAGGUAAGCAGGGGACUGCCAGUCUAAGGAGUCUGAGAAGUGUGUGGUGGGGAGUAGACAGCAUAUCCGAAGGCAAGGAGGUAGGAAAGCAGGGUGUGAUAGGGACUAGAGUGUCAUCAAUGGGAGUCCGGGUGAGGAGGAGAUGGAGGCCAAAGUUCAGUUAUUAAGAGCCUAUGUGGAGUUCCUGUCAUGGCUCAGCGGAAAUGAGUCUGACUAGGAUCCAUGAGGACACAGUUCUAUCCCUGGCCUCGCUCAGUGGGUUAAGGAUCUGGGUGUUGCUGUGGCUGUGGUGUAGGCUGGCAGCUGUAGCUCUGACUGGACCCCUAGCCUGGGAACCUCCAUAUGCCACAAGUGCGGCCCUAAAAGGACAAAAAAAAAAAAAAAAAAAAAAAAAAAAAA